UACGAAGGGGGCUAGCGUUGCUCGGAAUUACUGGGCGUAAAGCGCGUGUAGGCGGUUCGUAAAGUCGGAUGUGAAAGCCCUGGGCUUAACCCAGGAAGUGCAUUCGAAACUCACGAACUUGAGUCCCGGAGAGGAAGGCGGAAUUCCCGGUGUAGUGGUGAAAUGCGUAGAUAUCGGGAGGAACACCAGUGGCGAAGGCGACUACCUGGCCCAUUCUUGACGCUGAGGCGCGAAAGCUAGGGGAGCGAACGGG
rnacentral:rRNA from 1 species